rnacentral:sRNA from 1 species
GCGAUGAGCUGAAUUGUGUAAGUCGACAGACGUUAAAAAUGCACAAUGUGGAGUGCAGUCUAGUCGCCACAAUUAUAUAUGUUUUUUCAAAAAAGCGCCGCGGAUCUGGCGCUUUUU